rnacentral:lncRNA from 1 species
CUCAUGCUGCAGCUAAGACCUGGUGGGUGCAGCCAAGUAAACAAACACUUAAGAAGAGAAAUAUCUGAGUCACUGGGAGUGGGUAACAUAAGACUCUGUUCCUGGGUUAUCUGUUGUUAUCUCAGUUACCUGACCCACUUGUACAAUUUGCAUUGAGAUCUGCACUUGGAUGGGGUCAACUUCAUGGUGCACACGCUUCAUAGCUGUGUUCUUGCUUCAUAAGUGUGCCCCUGGGAACAGGCUGUCCUUAGAGGAGAAGUGAAAGAGGGAAGAACCAGGAAAGUAUGCUCAUGGUGCCUGCCAGCUCCCUGCCCUCUGAAGUGGGUCUACCAUGGCCCCCAAGCGGCCACGUUUUUUAAUAUUCAUGGCCCCUUCCUCCAAUCCAGCUGAUUAGAUCAGGGGUGCACUUCACCCAAGGGCAACCAAUCAGCAGGUUGUCCAGUGAGGUAAGUACAACUGGGCACAAAAUAAGGAGCCAGUCCAGUGAGCUCUUUCUGUAGAGAAGCUGAGUCCGUGAAGGCUGGGAGCUGUCCCUGGAAGGUGGUGAGCUGGAGAGGUUGCGAUGCCUGCAAAGCGGUAGUCAUGAAGGAGUCGACACUAUGAGUCAGGACAGAGCCAUAGUCUCACAGUAAUGCUCCUGAACGUGAAUGGGCUUCAGCGAGUCUCUCUUUGUACCCAAUGAGCCAACCCCAAGCAGUGCUGGCCUCCAAGCUCUGGAAGAGAAAUCCCAGUAUGUCAUCUCAUGACACAUGUGCCCUUGAUUUGUGGUCACUUCACAAACCUUCACAGAAGAGUGAAUUCUCCUUGUCCCUGCCUGCCCCCGUGAUCUUGGCAAGCCUGCUUCUCUCAAGGAAGGCAUAGGAUUUUUAGGAUUCUGAGGGGUCUGGAAAAAAAGGAAGUGAAGUGAAAGUCGCUCGGUGUGUCUGACUCUUUGCAACCCUAUGUACUAUACCAUCCUUGGAAUUCUCCAGGCCAGAAUACCAGAGUGGGUAGCCUUUCCCUUCUCC